rnacentral:rRNA from 1 species
AGUGAACGCUGGCGGUAGGCCUAACACAUGCGAGUCGAACGGCAGCACAGUAAGAGCUUGCUCUUACGGGUGGCGAGUGGCGGACGGGUGAGGAAUACAUCGGAAUCUACUUUUUCGUGGGGGAUAACGUAGGGAAACUUACGCUAAUACCGCAUACGACCUACGGGUGAAAGCAGGGGAUCUUCGGACCUUGCGCGAUUGAAUGAGCCGAUGUCGGAUUAGCUAGUUGGCGGGGUAAAGGCCCACCAAGGCGACGAUCCGUAGCUGGUCUGAGAGGAUGAUCAGCCACACUGGAACUGGAACACGGUCCCGACGCCUACGGAAGGCAGCAGUGGGGAAUAUUGGACAAAGGGCGCAAGCCUGAUCCAGCCAUACCGCGUGGGUUAAGAAGGCCUUCGGGUUGUAAAGCCCUUUUGUUGGGAAAGAAAAGCAGCAGGUUAAUACCCCGCUGUUCUGACGGUACCCAAAGAAUAAGCACCGGCUAACUUCGUG